rnacentral:rRNA from 1 species
UACGUAGGGGGCUAGCGUUGUCCGGAUUUAUUGGGCGUAAAGAGCGUGUAGGCGGCCAGGUAGGUCUGCUGUGAAAACUCGAGGCUCAACCUCGAGACGUCGGCGGAAACCAUCUGGCUAGAGUCCGGAAGAGGAGAGUGGAAUUCCACGUGUAGCGGUGAAAUGCGUAGAUAUGUGGAAGAACACCGGUGGUGAAGACGGUUUACUGGGCUGAAACUGACGCUGAGGCGCGAAAGCAUGGGGAGCAAACGGG